rnacentral:rRNA from 1 species
AUUGAACGCUGGCGGCAGGCUUAACACAUGCAAGUCGAACGAGUGGCGGACGGGUGAGUAAUGCUUGGGUAACCUGCCCUCCUUUUUGGGAUAAGCCUUGGAAACGGGGUCUAAUACCGAAUAAAGGGGGAUGGGCUCGCGGCCUAUCAGCUUGUUGGUGGGGUGAUGGCUACCAAGGCGUGACGGGUAGCCGGCCUGAGAGGGUGACCGGCCACCGUGGGACUGAGAUACGGCCCAGACUCCUACGGGAGGCAGCAGUGGGGGAUAUUGCACAAUGGGCGAAAGCCUGAUGCAGCGACGCCGCGUGGGGGAUGAAGGCCUUCGGGUUGUAAACUCCUUUCGACAGGGACGCGGUACCUGUAUAAGAAGCACCGGCUAACUACGUGCCAGCCGCCGCGGUAAUAC